rnacentral:lncRNA from 1 species
CAGUCUCAGUGGGCGGUUGGGCGGGGGGACAUGGGGGCACACCAAAAUAACCUCCCUGACUGGUGAGGUGUCAUGCUGGGCAAAUGAAACUCCCUGUGCCUCAGUUUCUUCAUCUGUCAAAUGGAAAAGUUACUACUACUAAUCAGCUCAUGUGAAGAUUAAAGGCAUUCAUGUAUAUGAGAUACUCCAUGCCUGGCACAUAAUGAGACCUUAAUAAGUCAUUGCUAUGAUGAUAAUGAUGACGCUGGAGGCAGAGACAGCAGCAUGUGGGGGGUUGAGACCAAGUAGACAGCACAUCUAGAGUCAUCAGGGUAGGCUUUGGAGCAGGUGGUUGUAGAUGUGGCCUUGAAGGCUGGGAGGGGUGUGUCCCAGGAGGCAGAAAGAACAGGAGGAGGUAAAGUACGUAUAUAAUGCUGGCAAUUCUGGAAGCUACCCAGUGUGGCUACACACCAGGGUCAGGGCAAGGGGUAUGAGCCUGGAGCCUGGAAGACCGCUGUGCAGGUGAGGAGGAGAGAUGUUGAGAUCUUCUCCCACCCACUUCAGUGCCAGAGAGGAGGGAUCUUCCCCGCACAGCACAGGAGCUGUCAGGACAGAGAGCCACAGGCCUCAGAGCUGGGCACGAACCAAAUGCCUCCUGGAUCCACCAAGGUGUGAAGGAUAAAUGUGCUCCCCGUUACUGCACUGCCACGGGAGGGACCCUGAUCAUUCCCUGGCAGCUCCUUUCCUCGCCUCGCCUCCGACACUGCGGCGGGCUGCAAAACACGGAGCGCGGAGCCGCCGCCACACCUGGAAUCCGAAGCGGGCUAUCGGCCGCAGCCGCCUCCGCCUGUGCGGGGAGGGGAGUGCGCGCGCGCGGGCGCGCGGGCUUGUGUGUGUCCAACUCGGGCUACGCAGGAGCUGAUUAUGAUUUGAGACGGAGGCUGCCUCAAAUCAUGAGUGGGGAAGGAGUGUGGAAGAAGAAAAGGGGGACGUGUUUGUAUGUGUACGUGAACGUGAGGAUUUACUGAACAGGGGAAUAUCUCGUGUUUUGUUUUUUGAGUGUAUGUGGGGUUGUACAGCAAUGAGUGUGUGUGUGCAAUUGCGUGUCUGUGUGAGUGUGCUUGCUAUGGCCGUGUAUACGGGCAUAUUUGUGAGAGAAACUGUACGUGUGUGGGUGUGGAAUCGUGUUUGUAAUACUGAGUUGGCGCGAAUGUGUGUGCCGUUUGUGUAGGAGUUUCCAUGUAAGUGGCAACGGACUUGAGCCAAG